GUGUAGCGGUGAAAUGCGUAGAGAUAUGGAGGAACACCACUGGCGAAGGCGACUUUCUGGUCUGUAUCUGACACUGAGGCGCGAAAGCGUGGGGAGCAAACAGGAUUAUAUACCCUGGUAGUCCCCGCCGCAAACGAUGAGUGCUAAGUGUUAGAGGGUUUCCCCCCUUUAGUGCUGAAGUUAACGCAUUAAGCACUCCGCCUGGGGAGUACGGCCGCACGGAUGAAACUACUAGGAAUUGACGGGGGCCCGCACAAGCGGUGGAGCAUGUGGUUUAAUUCUAAGCAACGCGAAGAACACUUACCAGGUCUUGACAUCCUCUGAGAACCCUAUAGAUAGGGCUUCUCCUUCUGGAGCAGAGUGACAGGUGGUGCAUGGUUGUCUUCAGCUCGUGUCGUGAGAUGUAGGGUUAAGUCCCGCCACGAGCGCAACCCUUGAUC
rnacentral:rRNA from 1 species